GACGAACGCUGGCGGCGUGCCUAAUACAUGCAAGUAGAACGCACAGUUUAUACCGUAGCUUGCUACACCAUAGACUGUGAGUUGCGAACGGGUGAGUAACGCGUAGGUAACCUGCCUGGUAGCGGGGGAUAACUAUUGGAAACGAUAGCUAAUACCGCAUAAUAUUGAUUAUUGCAUGAUAAUUGAUUGAAAGAUGCUAUUGCAUCACUACCAGAUGGACCUGCGUUGUAUUAGCUAGUAGGUGAGGUAACGGCUCACCUAGGCGACGAUACAUAGCCGACCUGAGAGGGUGAUCGGCCACACUGGGACUGAGACACGGCCCAGACUCCUACGGGAGGCAGCAGUAGGGAAUCUUCGGCAAUGGACGAAAGUCUGACCGAGCAACGCCGCGUGAGUGAAGAAGGGUUUCGGAUCGUAAAGCUCUGUUGUAAGAGAGGAACGGGUGUGAGAGUGGAAAGUUCACACUGUGACGGUAUCUUAACAGAAAGGGACGGCUAACUACGUG
rnacentral:rRNA from 1 species